rnacentral:rRNA from 1 species
CUUUUAGGAUACCGUACGUGACCUGCGGAGGUCAUUACUAGAGCAAAGGAUAGACACUACCCUACUUCGGUAGGGUUUAGAGUCGUCGGGCCUCUCGGAGAAGCUCGGUCCUGAACUCCACCCUUGAAUAAAUUACCUUUGUUGCUUUGGCGGGCCGCCUCGUGCCAGCGGCUUCGGCUGUUGAGUGCCCGCCAGAGGACCACAACUCUUGUUUUUAGUGAUGUCUGAGUACUAUAUAAUAGUUAAAACUUUCAACAACGGAUCUCUUGGUUCUGGCAUCGAUGAAGAACGCAGCGAAAUGCGAUAAGUAAUGUGAAUUGCAGAAUUCAGUGAAUCAUCGAAUCUUUGAACGCACAUUGCGCCCUCUGGUAUUCCGGGGGGCAUGCCUGUUCGAGCGUCAUUAUAACCACUCAAGCUCUCGCUUGGUAUUGGGGUUCGCGGUUUCGCGGCCCCUAAAAUCAGUGGCGGUGCCUGUCGGCUCUACGCGUAGUAAUACUUCUCGCGAUUGAGUUCGAUAGGUCUACUUGCCAGUAACCCCCAAUUUUUACAGGUUGACCUCGGAUCAGGUAGGGAUACCCGCUGAACUUAAGCAUAUCAAAAAGCGCGGAGGAAAAA